rnacentral:lncRNA from 1 species
AAAACUCUUAAAAAAUAGUAAAGUAAAUGUAUAGGUACACAUACCAUUUCAAGUUCAAGCAUGAAGCGGGCAUUAGGAAUGAUAAUGGAUCAAUUAAUAGUUUUCUCCACGUAUUUUUAGGACUUGACAAGGGUUGUUGAGGCCACUUUUCAAUAGAUUGCAGGAGAAAGUCUGGUCCUUUUAACC